AACACACGUGACAAAAAUGAAUGGAUAUUGAAUUUGAAUAUGAAACAAAAAACAACCCGCGCCAAUCAGAAAUAGCUCAGGUCAAGUCUUCCGGUCACCCUCCACCGUGGACCACUGCCCGAGAAUCGCUUCUAGUGGCAGUGGCCACUAGAACCAAGAAAUUUAGCCAUCACCAGCUUCGUCUUAACCUCCUCGUUACAAAUAUCCCAUUAAUUUCACCUAAUUUUUGCUCUAAACUCAAAACUGACCCAAUUCUCUCAAGAACCCUAAAACUCAUCUCUUAAAUUAAAUGCUAAGCAAAAGGAUUCAAAGCCCCUGAGGCUGGGGCUUUGAAUCACCUCUUGCACCUCUACAUGUUAGCAACCGGGAUUAAAGAAAACAAAAGGAUUUUGGAACUCACCGUGGCCGGAGGUUUUGAAAGGUGAUGAAGAACGCAGAUGAAUUUCUACCUCUAAGCAUGACCUUGUAAAAUGGUUCACAUUGCAGCAGGGUGCAGCUUGGCAUAUUGUAUUUUGCAGCUUCAUGGCAUGUUUUUCUACAGGUCUGCAGUAUGGCUUAACAACAUGGUUUCACUUGACUUGCAUUACAAUGAGCAUGUGUGUCUUAACUUGUGCAGCAGGUCUGCAUUGCAUUAUGGCAUGUUUAUCAUGGUUCUGACUUGGUUAUGGUGUUGUGUAGAUUUGAACCAUGUGCAUUGCUUCAUGUUGCAGCAGGUUUUACUGCAUUCUGACCUGGUCCAUGUUCUGCUCAUGGUUUUUUUAUUUUGUGAAAUGAUUCUGACUUUAUCUUAUGUAGCAUGGAAUCAUGGUUUGUGUUUGUUAGGAAUUCUUACUCCAUUCACUGCCUUGCCUUGGUUUUGUAGGUCAUGUGUACAUGAAGGAUGAUGGUUCAACAUGACAUCAAGAUUGAACUUUAAGGCAUCCAUGUACAAAUGGCAAAGAUGCAAAGAUCAAGAUGGAUUUUGAAGAUUAGGAUUAGAAUUAGAAUUAGGGAUUUAGGGUUUUAGGAUGGGAAAAGGUUGAGUUGAAUUUUGUCAAAGUUGACCGAAAAAUUAAUUGUUGACCAAAGUCAACACUUGGUCAAAGUUAACAAAUUUUGUAGUUUUCUAUAUAAUGAACAUUUGUAAUGAUGGAAUAAAUGGAAUUGACUAUUUUGGAUGAAA